rnacentral:lncRNA from 1 species
AUGGCGUGGGCGCCCAGUCGGAACUGUCGAGCUGCGCAUGCGCCCGUCCUCGCCGCGCCGUGCAGCCGGGCAGGAAAGGGGCGGGGCAGGGGGAUGACGAGAGGUCGGCUGAGGCGAGGGAGCGCGCCUGCGCACUGCCUCGAACUCUGCUGCGGUGCGGAGAAUGACGGGAGGCGGAAGUGGGGCGGCUUCCUACUAUGUGCAAGGCAAGGAAAAGGCUGCACUAAUGCUGGUCCUGCAGAGCGGGGAUGCCAACUGGCUGAGCCCCUCUGCUGUGGGGCUGCGUGGCAGGACAAAUGGAACAGCAGGAGGUGCGCUCUCAGAGUCAUGGGCUUGCCAGAACUCUCCUGCAUUUAAACACAGAAAUGUGGAGACAGAGAAAUGAAAACGAACUGUCAGCAGCUUUUGAAUCCAGAGCACCGAAUGUUGCCAUGAGCCCAGAAUAAUAAACCGCGUUUCAAGGCACA